rnacentral:rRNA from 1 species
GGUGCAAGCGUUAAUCGGAAUUACUGGGCGUAAAGCGUGCGCAGGCGGUUUUGUAAGACUGUCGUGAAAUCCCCGGGCUCAACCUGGGAAUGGCGAUGGUGACUGCAAGGCUAGAGUUUGGCAGAGGGGGGUAGAAUUCCACGUGUAGCAGUGAAAUGCGUAGAUAUGUGGAGGAACACCGAUGGCGAAGGCAGCCCCCUGGGUCAAAACUGACGCUCAUGCACGAAAGCGUGGGGAGCAAACAGGAUUAGAUACCCUGGUAGUCCACGCCCUAAACGAUGUCUACUAGUUGUCGGGUCUUAAUUGACUUGGUAACGCAGCUAACGCGUGAAGUAGACCGCCUGGGGAGUACGGUCGCAAGAUUAAAACUCAAAGGAAUUGACGGGGACCCGCACAAGCGGUGGAUGAUGUUGGAUUAAUUCGAUGCAACGCCAAAAACCUUACCUACCCUUUGACAUGGCUGGAAUCCCCCAA